ACGGGAGGCAGCAGUGAGGAAUAUUGGUCGAUGGGCGGAAGCCUGAACCAGCCAAGUCGCGUGAAGGAUGAAGGUAUUAUGUAUUGUAAACUUCUUUAGUCGCAGAGAAAUAAGGAGGUCGAGACCUCUGAUGCUAGUAUGCGAAGAAUAAGGAUCGGCUAACUCCGUGCCAGCAGCCGCGGUAAUACGGAGGAUCCGAGCGUUAUCCGGAUUUAUUGGGUUUAAAGGGUGCGCAGGCGGCUUUUUAAGUCAGUGGUCAAAUCGUGGGGCUCAACCCCAUCCCGCCAUUGAUACUGGAGAGCUUGAUUGCGGUCGAGGUUGGCGGAAUUCGUCGUGUAGCGGUGAAAUGCAUAGAUAUGACGAAGAACACCGAUUGCGUAGGCAGCUGACCGGGCCGUAAAUGACGCUCAUGCACGAAAGUGCGGGGAUCGAACAGGAUUAGAUACCCUGGUA
rnacentral:rRNA from 1 species